GAUGAACGCUGGCGGCGUGCCUAAUACAUGCAAGUCGAGCGAACAGACGAGGAGCUUGCUCCUUUGACGUUAGCGGCGGACGGGUGAGUAACACGUGGGUAACCUACCUAUAAGACUGGGAUAACUUCGGGAAACCGGAGCUAAUACCGGAUAAUAUUUCGAACCGCAUGGUUCGAUAGUGAAAGAUGGCUCUGCUAUCACUUAUAGAUGGACCUGCGCCGUAUUAGAUAGUUGGUAAGGUAACGGCUUACCAAGGCAACGAUACGUAGCCGACCUGAGAGAGUGAUCGGCCACACUGGAGCGGGGCCACGGACAAGGGUACUACGGGAGGCAGCAGAAGGGAAUGUUACGCAAUGGGGGAAAGCAUGACGGAGCAAGGCCGAGUGAGUGAUGGAGGUCUUGGGAUCGUAAAAAUGUGUUACUAGGGAAGAACAAACGUGGAAGUAAAUGUGGACGUAUUGACGGUAAUUAAUAAGAAAGCAACGGCUAACUACGUG
rnacentral:rRNA from 1 species